AUUGAACGCUGGCGGCGUGCCUAACACAUGCAAGUCGAGCGGUAACAGGUGUAGCAAUACAUGCUGACGAGCGGCGAACGGGUGAGUAAUGCUUCGGAAUCUGCCCAUGUAGUGGGGAAUAACCAGCCGAAAGGUUGGCUAAUACCGCAUACGACCUACGGGUGAAAGCAGGGGAUCGCAAGACCUUGCGCUAUUGGAUGAGCCGAAGUCGGAUUAGCUGUUGGUAGGGUAACGGCCUACCAAGGCGACGAUCCGUAGCUGGUCUGAGAGGACGACCAGCCACACUGGGACUGAGACACGGCCCAGACUCCUACGGGAGGCAGCAGUGGGGAAUAUUGGACAAUGGGGGCAACCCUGAUCCAGCGACGCCGCGUGUGUGAAGAAGGCCUGCGGGUUGUAAAGCACUUUUAGUUGGGGAGUGAAAAGACACAUGGCUAAUAUCCGUGUGUCUUGACCU
rnacentral:rRNA from 1 species